UACGUAUGGUGCAAGCGUUAUCCGGAUUUACUGGGCGUAAAGGGAGUGCAGGCGGCGCGCCAAGUCUGAUGUGAAACCCCGGGGCUCAACCCCGGGCAUGCAUUGGAAACUGGCGGGCUGGAGUGCCGGAGAGGUAAGCGGAAUUCCUAGUGUAGCGGUGAAAUGCGUAGAUAUUAGGAGGAACACCAGUGGCGAAGGCGGCUUACUGGACGGCAACUGACGCUGAGGCUCGAAAGCGUGGGGAGCAAACAGG
rnacentral:rRNA from 1 species